rnacentral:rRNA from 1 species
CCUACGGGAGGCAGCAGUAGGGAAUAUUGCUCAAUGGAGGAAACUCUGAAGCAGCAACGCCGCGUGGAGGAUGAAGGUUUUCUGAUUGUAAACUCCUUUUGUUAGAGGAGAUAAUCACGGUAUCUGACGACUACGCACCGUCUAACUCCGUUCCAGCAGCCGCGGUAAUACGGAGGGUGCAAGCGUUACUCGGAGUCACUGGGCGUAAAGAGCGCGUAGGCGGGUUAGCAAGUCAGAUGUGAAAUCCUAUGGCUUAACCAUAGAACUGCAUUUGAAACUGUUGUUCUAGAGUAUGGGAGCGGUAGGCGGAAUUUUUGGUGUAGGGGUAAAAUCCGUAGAGAUCAAGAGGAAUACUCAUUGCGAAGGCGACCUGCUAGAACAUAACUGACGCUGAUGCGCGAAAGCGUGGGGAGCAAACAGGAUUAGAUACCCUAGUAGUC